UGGGCAACCUGCCUCUCUCUCUGGGAUAACCCCGGGAAACCGGAGCUAAUACCGGAUACUCCGGCUGGAUCGCAUGGUCCGGCCGGGAAAGGUCCGCCGGAGAGGGAUGGGGCCCGCGGCCUAUCAGCUUGUUGGUGGGGUCAUGGCUCACCAAGGCGACGACGGGUAGCUGGUCUGAGAGGAUGGCCAGCCACAUUGGGACUGAGACACGGCCAGACUCCGUAGGGAGCA
rnacentral:rRNA from 1 species